rnacentral:rRNA from 1 species
AAGGAGAAGUCGUAACAAGGUUUCCGUAGGUGAACCUGCGGACAGACCGCGCACGCGUCAUCCAAUCCGUCGGCGACGGCACCGUCCGUCGCUCGGCCAAUGCCUCGACCACCUCCCCUCCUCGGAGCGGGUGGGGGCUCGGGGUAAAAGAACCCACGGCGCCGAAGGCGUCAAGGAACACUGUGCCUAACCCGGGGGCAUGUCUAGCUUGCUAGCCGUCCCUCGUGUUGCAAAGCUAUUUAAUCCACACGACUCUCGGCAACGGAUAUCUCGGCUCUCGCAUCGAUGAAGAACGUAGCGAAAUGCGAUACCUGGUGUGAAUUGCAGAAUCCCGCGAACCAUCGAGUCUUUGAACGCAAGUUGCGCCCGAGGCCACUCGGCCGAGGGCACGCCUGCCUGGGCGUCACGCCAAAACACGCUCCCAACCACCCUCAACGGGAUUCGGGAUGCGGCAUCUGGUCCCUCGUCUCUCAAGGGACGGUGGACCGAAGAUUGGGCUGCCGGCGUACCGCGCCGGACACAGCGCAUGGUGGGCGUCCUCGCUUUAUCAAUGCAGUGCAUCCGGCGCGCAGCUGGCAUUAUGGCCUUUGAACGACCCAACAAACGAAGCGCACGUCGCUUCGACCGCGACCCCAGGUCAGGCGGGACUACCCGCUGAG